rnacentral:pre_miRNA from 1 species
UAUAUACUCCCUCCGUCCGGAAAUACUUGUCAUUGAAAUGGAUGUAUCUAGAUGUAUUUUAGUUGUAGAUACAUCCAUUUUCAUCCAUUUUGAUGACAAGUAUUUCCGGACGGAGGGAGUAUCUU